UUUUGAAGCAAUCUGAUAAAAAUUGCAGCAUAUUAUUAUAACAAUUCUAGUUCACUACAAACAGCACAUUAUCAAGAAACUUAUGUUUGAUGGACAGUUUCUUCAAAUAAUUGAAUGCAGUAAAAAAUAAAAAAAAUAACCAUGGAAUAUGUUUCUAAGAAUUCGCAAUCCUUGUUU